rnacentral:rRNA from 1 species
AUUGAACGCUGGCGGCAUGCCUUACACAUGCAAGUCGAACGGUAACGGGCCUUCGGGUGCCGACGAGUGGCGAACGGGUGAGUAAUGUAUCGGAACGUACCUUUCAGUGGGGAUAACGUAGCGAAAGUUACGCUAAUACCGCAUAUUCUGUGAGCAGGAAGGCAGGGGAUCGCAAGACCUUGCGCUGAUUGAGCGGCCGAUAUCAGAUUAGCUAGUUGGUGAGGUAAAGGCUCACCAAGGCGACGAUCUGUAGCGGGUCUGAGAGGAUGAUCCGCCACACUGGAACUGAGACACGGUCCAGACUCCUACGGGAGGCAGCAGUGGGGAAUUUUGGACAAAUGGGGCAACCCUGAUCCAGCCAUGCCGCGUGAGUGAAGAAGGCC